rnacentral:rRNA from 1 species
AUUGAACGCUGGCGGCAGGCCUAACACAUGCCAGUCGAGCGAGCGGCGGAAGGGUGAGUACUGUAUGGGGACUGCCCGCUAGAGGGGGAUAACUACAGGAAACGGAAGCUAAUAACGCCUACUAUAGGAUAACCCAUAUGGGAUUCGCUAGUAGGUGAGGUAAUGGCUCAACUCGGCGACGAUCCCUAGCUGGUCUGAGAAGAUGAUCAGCCACACUGGGACUGAGACACGGCCCAUACUCCUACGGAGGCAGCAGUGGGGAAUAUUGCACAAUGGGCGCAAGCCUGAUGCAGCCAUGCCGCGUGUAUGAAGAAGGCCCUAGGGUUGUAAAGGACUUUCAGUCGGGAGGCGUUACCGACAGAAGAAGCACCGGCUAACUCCGUGCCAGCAGCCGCGGUAAUUC